rnacentral:rRNA from 1 species
AUUGAACGCUGGCGGCAGGCCUAACACAUGCAAGUCGAGCGGUAGCACAGAGAGCUUGCUCUCGGGUGACGAGCGGCGGACGGGUGAGUAAUGUCUGGGAAACUGCCUGAUGGAGGGGGAUAACUACUGGAAACGGUAGCUAAUACCGCAUAACGUCGCAAGACCAAAGUGGGGGACCUUCGGGCCUCAUGCCAUCAGAUGUGCCCAGAUGGGAUUAGCUAGUAGGUGGGGUAAUGGCUCACCUAGGCGACGAUCCCUAGCUGGUCUGAGAGGAUGACCAGCCACACUGGAACUGAGACACGGUCCAGACUCCUACGGGAGGCAGCAGUGGGGAAUAUUGCACAAUGGGCGCAAGCCUGAUGCAGCCAUGCCGCGUGUGUGAAGAAGGCCUUCGGGUUGUAAAGCACUUUCAGCGGGGAGGAAGGCGGUGAGGUUAAUAACCUCAUCGAUUGACGUUACCCGCAGAAGAAGCACCGGCUAACUCCGUGCCAGCAGCCGCGGUAAUACGGAGGGUGCAAGCGUUAAUCGGAAUUACUGGGCGUAAAGCGCACGCAGGCGGUCUGUCAGUCGGAUGUGAAACCCCCGGGCUCAACCUGGGAACUGCAUUCGAAACUGGCAGGCUAGAGUCUUGUAGAGGGGGGUAGAAUUCCAGGUGUAGCGGUGAAAUGCGUAGAGAUCUGGAGGAAUACCGGUGGCGAAGGCGGCCCCCUGGACAAAGACUGACGCUCAGGUGCGAAAGCGUGGGGAGCAAACAGGAUUAGACACCCUGGUAGUCCACGCCGUAAACGAUGUCGAUUUGGAGGUUGUGCCCUUGAGGCGUGGCUUCCGGAGCUAACGCGUUAAAUCGACCGCCUGGGGAGUACGGCCGCAAGGUUAAAACUCAAAUGAAUUGACGGGGGCCCGCACAAGCGGUGGAGCAUGUGGUUUAAUUCGAUGCAACGCGAAGAACCUUACCUGGUCUUGACAUCCACAGAACUUUCCAGAGAUGGAUUGGUGCCUUCGGGAACUGUGAGACAGGUGCUGCAUGGCUGUCGUCAGCUCGUGUUGUGAAAUGUUGGGUUAAGUCCCGCAACGAGCGCAACCCUUAUCCUUUGUUGCCAGCGGUCCGGCCGGGAACUCAAAGGAGACUGCCAGUGAUAAACUGGAGGAAGGUGGGGAUGACGUCAAGUCAUCAUGGCCCUUACGACCAGGGCUACACACGUGCUACAAUGGCAUAUACAAAGAGAAGCGACCUCGCGAGAGCAAGCGGACCUCAUAAAGUAUGUCGUAGUCCGGAUUGGAGUCUGCAACUCGACUCCAUGAAGUCGGAAUCGCUAGUAAUCGUAGAUCAGAAUGCUACGGUGAAUACGUUCCCGGGCCU